CCUACGGGAGGCAGCAGUGGGGAAUAUUGGGCAAUGGGCGCAAGCCUGACCCAGCAACGCCGCGUGAAGGAAGAAGGCUUUCGGGUUGUAAACUUCUUUUAGCAGGGACGAAGCAAGUGACGGUACCAGAUGAAUAAGCCACGGCUAACUACGGGCCAGCAGCCGCGGUAAUACGUAGGUGGCAAGCGUUAUCCGGAUUUACUGGGUGUAAAGGGCGUGUAGGCGGGAGUGCAAGUCAGAUGUGAAAACUAUGGGCUCAACCCAUAGCCUGCAUUUGAAACGGUACUUCUUGAGUGCUGGACAGGCCAUCGGAAUUCCGUGUGUAGCGGUGACAUGCGUUGAUCUCCGGAG
rnacentral:rRNA from 1 species